UUCACUUGAUCUUUUUUCUCUCUAUUUUCUAUCAAUAAAAUUGGCUCAAUAAAAUCGGGUUUUGUUGUUAUAGAACACGGUAUUCUAUAUUUUAUAGUAGCAAUAUUCUAUAGUAGCAAAGGAAUAAGAAAUAAGAAUAAUAAAUUUUUUAAAAAUAAAAGUCUGAAUAGACCAAAAGAGAGGGGAGGAAAUAAUAAAGAAAAAUUUAUACAAAGCUAGAUAUGAAUCAUCCACACCCUCUUUUUUGGAUUUCAUUAAGUGAAUUUUGUUCGGUCUGGAAUCCAAAAUGAUAGCAUAGCACAAGCCACCUUACCUCCAGAGGCUCUGCUUUGCCGCAGAUCCAUUCUGGUUUCGUCCCAAACCUCUCCUUUACCCAUCCUCUUUGAUUCAGAUUAUGGGGUAUUCAAUGCACUUGAUGUAGACCAGAAAGACGAGGCUUUCCCGUGGGCUGGGGGAGUAGCCUCCUCUUCACCCUCCUUCAGUCGAUUCAGAUACCGAAUCGUAUCUCUUGGAGAGAGGUGCGGAAGCUCCCCCUUUGACUCGGGGGGAUUCCACCACUUCGACUGAUGCGGACGCGAUUCCCUCGUCGUGAAAGAAGU
rnacentral:lncRNA from 1 species